rnacentral:tRNA from 1 species
CCUGGUGGCUCAGAUGGUAAAGAAUCUGUCUGCAAUGCAGGAGACCUGGGUUCAAUCCCCAGGUCAGGA